GGAUCCAGACUUUGAUCCUGGCUCAGGAUGAACGCUAGCUACAGGCUUAACACAUGCAAGUCGAGGGGCAGCGGGAUUGAAGCUUGCUUCAAUUGCCGGCGACCGGCGCACGGGUGAGUAACGCGUAUCCAAUCUUCCGUACACUCAGGGAUAGCCUUUCGAAAGAAAGAUUAAUACCUGAUAGUAUCUUAAGCACACAUGUAAUUAAGAUUAAAGAUUUAUCGGUGUACGAUGGGGAUGCGUUCCAUUAGGUAGUAGGCGGGGUAACGGCCCACCUAGCCAACGAUGGAUAGGGGUUCUGAGAGGAAGGUCCCCCACAUUGGAACUGAGACACGGUCCAAACUCCUACGGGAGGCAGCAGUGAGGAAUAUUGGUCAAUGGACGAGAGUCUGAACCAGCCAAGUAGCGUGAAGGAUGAAGGUCCUACGGAUUGUAAACUUCUUUUAUAAGGGAAUAAACCCUCCCACGUGUGGGAGCUUGUAUGUACCUUAUGAAUAAGCAUCGGCUAACUCCGUGCCAGCAGCCGCGGUAAUACGGAGGAUGCGAGCGUUAUCCGGAUUUAUUGGGUUUAAAGGGAGCGCAGACGGGUCGUUAAGUCAGCUGUGAAAGUUUGGGGCUCAACCUUAAAAUUGCAGUUGAUACUGGCGUCCUUGAGUGCGGUUGAGGUGUGCGGAAUUCGUGGUGUAGCGGUGAAAUGCUUAGAUAUCACGAAGAACUCCGAUUGCGAAGGCAGCACACUAAUCCGUAACUGACGUUCAUGCUCGAAAGUGUGGGUAUCAAACAGGAUUAGAUACCCUGGUAGUCCACACGGUAAACGAUGGAUACUCGCUGUUGGCGAUAUACUGUCAGCGGCUUAGCGAAAGCGUUAAGUAUCCCACCUGGGGAGUACGCCGGCAACGGUGCAACUCAAAUGAAUUGACGG
rnacentral:rRNA from 1 species